rnacentral:rRNA from 1 species
CGGGUGAGUAACGCGUGGGUAACCUACCCUGUACACACGGAUAACAUACCGAAAGGUAUGCUAAUACAGGAUAAUAUAUUUGAGAGGCAUCUCUUGAAUAUCAAAGGUGAGCCAGUACAGGAUGGACCCGCGUCUGAUUAGCUAGUUGGUAAGGUGACGGCUUACCAAGGCGACGAUCAGUAGCCGACCUGAGAGGGUGAUCGGCCACAUUGGAACUGAGACACGGUCCAA